GGCAUUCUCUGAUGGAACAGCUGAACCAGGAUACAGAGACCUGCUUCAGUAUCCAACCUGAAUAUGUUGCCACUCAGGUCCCAAAAUGACACUCUGCCAAUGGCUGGAGUUCCUGCAUCCAGGUUCCUGCCUAAGUUCCUACUCUGACUUUCGUCAAUGAUGGACUGUUGACCUGCAAGUGAAACAGCCCAAGUUUCUGUCCAGGGAAGGAAUGACUCUGAUGAACUGAGCCAUGAUAUCAGACCUGCUCCUAACUCUUCCUGGAUUUGUCUUUGAUAGAGUGUUACUUAGAUGCUUUCAAUGAAUGUCUUUGGGGAAAGCAAUAAAAAAA